GACGAACGCUGGCGGCGUGCUUAACACAUGCAAGUCGAACGAUGAAGCCAGGUUGUUGGUGGAUUAGCGGCGAACGGGUGAGUAACACGCGGGUGAUCUGCCCCAACCUUUGGGAUAAGCCUGGGAAACUGGGUCUAAUACCGAAUAUGACCGAUACUCGCAUGGGUGUUGGGGGAAAGCUCCGGCGGUUUGGGAUGGGCCCGCGGCCUAUCAGCUUGUUGGUGGGGUAAUGGCCUACCAAGGCGACGACGGGUAGCCGGCCUGAGAGGGCGACCGGCCACACUGGGACUGAGACACGGCCCAGACUCCUAUGGGAGGCAGCAGUGGGGAAUAUUGCACAAUGGGCGCAAGCCUGAUGCAGCGACGCCGCGUGAGGGAUGACGGCCUUCGGGUUGUAAACCGCUUUCGCCAGGGACGAAGCGAAAGUGACGGUACCUGGAGAAGAAGCACCGGCCAACUACGUG
rnacentral:rRNA from 1 species